UACGUAGGUGGCGAGCGUUGUCCGGAUUUAUUGGGCGUAAAGCGCGCGCAGGUGGCGCAUUAAGUCCCGCGUGAAAGCUCCCGGCUCAACUGGGAGAGGUCGUGGGAGACUGGUGUGCUUGAGGCAGGCAGAGGCCGGUGGAAUUCCCGGUGUAGUGGUGAAAUGCGUAGAUAUCGGGAGGAACACCAGUGGCGAAGGCGGCCGGCUGGGCCUGACCUGACGCUGAGGCGCGAAAGCGUGGGGAGCGAACCGG
rnacentral:rRNA from 1 species